rnacentral:ncRNA from 1 species
AUUACUUUACUUUGAUAAUAUCGUUACUAAUAACUAAAUUAUGCAUGGUAGUUUUACGAGAAAUUAACCCAGCUAAAAAUAUUAAACAAAUAAUAGAAAUAUUAAUUUAAUUAUGUUUAUUAUGAGGCAAAUUAGGUGCCAGCAGCCGCGGUCAUACCUAAUCAUAUAGUAACGGAAGUUAGGAAGAUUUUAGUAAGAAAUAAUUAGUAUUCAAGUGAAAUAGAUACUCGUUAGAACUUUAUUUUAUUAAUAUGCAAUCUAAACUCGCUAUAUAAACUAGGAUUAGACACCCUACUAUAAAGAGUAAAAAUUCACCCUAAGCACUAAGACUAAAGAGUUAAAACUUAAAAAGUAUGGCGGCAGCUUUAAAUUUUAGGGGAACUUACCAGGUAAUUGACAACCCACAAAAAACAGAACUUAAUUUAAGAGUUUGUAUACCGCCGUCUACAGAAUGUAUUUAAGAUAUCUUCGAAUCGCUAAAGAAGAAAGACAGGCCAUGGUGCAGCCUAUAGUUAAGACUUUAAGGUGAGUUACAAUAUUUAAUAUUUUCAGAUGUGUGUUGAAAAGCUAUAAGGAAGAUGGACCUAAAAGUAAGGCAUAAAUAAAUAUUGUUUGAAUUUUUUAAAAAGUUGUGCACAAAUCGCCCGUCACUCUCCUUGAAAAAGGAGAUAAGUCGUAACAUAGUAGAGGUAACGGAAGUUGU